rnacentral:rRNA from 1 species
GACGAACGCUGGCGGCGUGCUCAACACAUGCAAGUCGAACGGAAAGGCCCUGCUUUUGUGGGGUGCUCGAGUGGCCAACGGGUGAGUCACACGUGAGUAACCUGCCCUUGACUUUGGGAUAACUUCAGGAAACUGGGGCUAAUACCUGAUAGGAGCUCCUGCUGCAUGGUGGGGGUUGGACAGUUUCGGCGGUUGGGGAUGGACUCGCGGCUUAUCAGCUUGUUGGUGGGGUAGUGGCUUACCAAGGCUUUGACGGGUAGCCGGCCUGAGAGGGUGACCGGCCACGUUGGGACUGAGCUACGGCCCAGACUCCUACGGGAGGCAGAAGUGGGGAAGAUUGCACAAGGGGCGGAAGCCUGAUGCAGCAACGCCGCGUGCGGGAUGACGGCCUUCGGGUUGUAAACCGCUUUCGCCUGUGACGAAGCGUGAGUGACGGGAAUGGGUAGAGAAGCACCGGCUAACUACGUG